UUUGUUUUAUUUGAGCUCUUUAAAAUAUUAUUUCUUGUGGUUCAAGAGGAUUUCCAGAAUUUUAUGACACUGAUGAGUUCUUAUGUUUUUUUAAAAUAAGUAGGUGGACAGUGGACUCCGUUGUCUAAUCAGUGGCCUUCUGCUAUCCAAAAAACCAUACAAACUUUGGCUGGAAGAUUCUGUACUGCCAGAAGGAUUUUUGAAUUUGCGAACAUAAAUUUUCAGGCAUGGAAAAGGAGAGCUUCCAAGUCUGUAACAUGGUUUGUAAGACUUAGCCUGGGGUCCCACUUAGUCAAUUUUCAGGCAUGGAAUCACCAUGUUGGGUUUAGUAAAUAUGGUUUGAAAUGGUGCUGAAUCAAGGCAAUCAAGGAGAGAACACGAACAAGGUUCUCACGGAGCAAAAGGAAAGUAGAGAAGAAAGCCAGCAAAGAGAGCAUGGCGAGUUACUUGGAGAGUUAAGAAGUAACAAAACAAUUCGAGGGGAAUUAUCUUUUAUUUAGGACUCAUUGCGGCUUCCUGAAUCUGCAUGAUUUUCCUCUAUUCUUGCUCAUCCAAAAACCUUUGCAUAUUACAGCCUUCCACCUUCCAUAAAUGCCCAGGAAAUCAAAGAACGGACAUGGAAACUGGACCAGAUAUGGACAACUCUGCUACCUCAAAACUAAUAUGAUUUUCCCUUUCUAGCCCAUCCUGAGAAACUGCAUGCAUCUGUAACCUUUUCCCUAUACUUUAAUUCAACAUGACCGAAACUCAUGUUUGUUUGCAUGGCAGAUCAUUAAGAAAGCAAAAAUAUCUUACUCAUAGACAUUGACCAAUGUUAUCCUGUCAUUUGUGCAGAUGGGCACCCUGCAUAGGCGCACUCUGUGGAAGAACAAAGCAGCAAAAAUAGUUUAGGCAACAGUAAAUCUCCUUCCAUGAAGUAACUAAAACCAUAAUCCAUUUGAUGCUCUCUGUAUUUAUAUAAAGGUGUUAUUCUCCAAUAGAACCUUGUCUGUGCAUGUUGAUUUCUAGGAGAUGUACAGAGUUCAGUUCAAAAUUGGAUGAUUCCCCUCUUACCCUCAGCUCCUCUUGAGAUCAACAACAAUGACACUGAUGUUAUCAGCGCUUCUCCGUCCUAAGGCAAGGCGAGUAAGAAGUGCAGCAGCCAACAUGCUUCGAGAUGGGUACAAUGCUCCAGCACCUUCUUCUUCAAUCUGAGGCCCGGCCUUGGCAGGAGGAUUUUUUUCUCGGAGGCAUUCGCGAGCUACCUGACAAGCCAAGUCACUUGACAAGACAUCCCAUAAGCCAUCACUAGCAAGAAUUAAGCACUCAUCUUCUGAUUCUCUUUUUGUAAAAGUAAUCUCAGGCUCUGCUAUUACAACUGGCUUUAAAUAUUUGUCCCCUGCUCAAAAAAACAUAACAGAAUAAAAGGAAUUGAGCAAGCAUUUUAAGAA